AUUGAACGCUGGCGGCAGGCCUAACACAUGCAAGUCGAGCGGCAGCGGAAAGUAGCUUGCUACUUUGCCGGCGAGCGGCGGACGGGUGAGUAAUGUCUGGGGAUCUGCCUGAUGGAGGGGGAUAACUACUGGAAACGGUAGCUAAUACCGCAUAACGUCGCGAGACCAAAGAGGGGGACCUUCGGGCCUCUUGCCAUCAGAUGAACCCAGAUGGGAUUAGCUAGUAGGUGGGGUAACGGCUCACCUAGGCGACGAUCCCUAGCUGGUCUGAGAGGAUGACCAGCCACACUGGAACUGAGACACGGUCCAGACUCCUACGGGAGGCAGCAGUGGGGAAUAUUGCACAAUGGGCGCAAGCCUGAUGCAGCCAUGCCGCGUGUAUGAAGAAGGCCUUCGGGUUGUAAAGUACUUUCAGCGAGGAGGAAGGCGUUAAGGUUAAUAACCUUAGCGAUUGACGUUACUCGCAGAAGAAGCACCGGCUAACUCCGUGCCAGCAGCCGCCGUAA
rnacentral:rRNA from 1 species